AAGGGAUCAACAAUUAAGUGAACUCAUUGGUACAGAUCUGAUUGUCCAGAAAAGUCAUGGAAAAAAGCCCAUCAACCAAAAAACAUUGGGGAGAAGGUUUUCACAAGUGCUCCUACAGGAAACACUAGAUGAAUGCAGACAACAGCCCCCAGCUGAAUGAGCCAUGCAAGAGUACACACAACACAAGCACACCUCAAACCUCUACUGGCCACCUCAACUCAUUGCCUGGUUGUGUGUUGAGAGUCACAACCACGCACAUGUGAUAUUACACCAUUCCCUCUGAUUUCUUUUUUUUUUUUUUUUUUUAUUCAUUCCCUCUGAUUUCAAGGAACCUUCCAUCCACCACUUGACAGCAACAAAAGCUGCAACCUUGUGAUGCCCACUUCCAGAAGAGAAUUUAAGGCUUUUGUUCCGGGAAAACUGCUAUCUUUAUUAUACUACUUACAGAUUUCUUAACCAUUUAAUGUCUGUAAAACUGUGCUACUGUUGUA